AGCCCAAAGUCCAUCCCGGAGACCUGCUGUGCUCAGCGCGCUCGGGAACUCCACCGUGACGAACGGACAACUGGCUUCUCAAAUGCAUUUCGUGGCUGGCUAUGUGACAGGAACAUGAUUUCAGAAGAACAGCUGUGUCUGAGGUGGUGUGGCAGUGCAGUGCAAACCACGGCAGCAGCAUUUGCUGGCUUUCAUCUGUUCAAUCCCUCCUUAGAGGCCGCCUGUGCUAACCAUCUGCACCCAACCCAGGGUUUGGGUUUUCAGUGGUAACUACAGGUCUCCUGAAAACGUUGUCACCUGGCAGCUUGGGAGGUGGAAGGCCCCUCAGCUGAUGUGUAA